GUAGCGGUGGCGUAACAGGUUAACGCUCGGGUCUGGCUUGUAGCCUUACCAAGAUUCCUGGUUCGACUCCAGGUCGCUAUA